CAGUCGCCACGGUAAUACGUAUGUCACAAGCGUUAUCCGGAUUUAUUGGGCGUAAAGCGCGUCUAGGUGGUUAUGUAAGUCUGAUAUGAAAAUGCAGGGCUCAACUCUGUAUUGCGUUGGAAACUGUGUAACUAGAGUACUGGAGAGGUAAGCGGAACUACAAGUGUAGAGGUGAAAUUCGUAGAUAUUUGUAGGAAUGCCGAUGGGGAAGCCAGCUUACUGGACAGAUACUGACGCUGAAGCGCGAAAGCGUGGGUAGCAAACAGGAUUAGAUACCCCUGUAGUCCCUGUCUCUUAUACC
rnacentral:rRNA from 1 species